rnacentral:rRNA from 1 species
UACGUAGGGGGCAAGCGUUGUCCGGAAUCAUUGGGCGUAAAGCGCGUGUAGGCGGCCCGGUAAGUCCGCCGUGAAAGUCGGGGGCUCAACCCUCGAAUGCCGGUGGAUACUGUCGGGCUAGAGUGCGGAAGAGGCGAGUGGAAUUCCUGGUGUAGCGGUGAAAUGCGCAGAUAUCAGGAGGAACACCAAUUGCGAAGGCAGCUCGCUGGGACGUGACUGACGCUGAGACGCGAAAGCGUGGGGAGCAAACAGG